rnacentral:rRNA from 1 species
UACGUAGGGUGCAAGCGUUAAUCGGAAUUACUGGGCGUAAAGCGUGCGCAGGCGGUUAUGUAAGUCAGAUGUGAAAUCCCCGGGCUCAACCUGGGAAUGGCGAUGGAUACUGCCGGGCUAGAGGAUGGUAGAGGCGAGUGGAAUUCCCCGGUGUAGCGGUGAAAAUGGCGCAGAUAUCAGGAAGAACACCAAUGGCGAAGGCAGCUCUCUGGGACGGUACUGACGCUGAGACGCAAAGCGUGGGGAGCGAACAGG